rnacentral:rRNA from 1 species
UACAGAGGGUGCAAGCGUUGUUCGGAAUUAUUGGGCGUAAAGCGCGCGCAGGCGGUCCUUUAAGUCUGAUGUGAAAUCCCACGGCUCAACCGUGGAAGGUCAUUGGAAACUGGGGGACUUGAGUACAGAAGAGGAAAGUGGAAUUCCAAGUGUAGCGGUGAAAUGCGUAGAGAUUUGGAGGAACACCAGUGGCGAAGGCGACUUUCUGGUCUGUAACUGACGCUGAGGCGCGAAAGCGUGGGGAGCAAACAGG